CCUACGGGUGGCAGCAGUGGGGAAUAUUGGACAAUGGGGGCAACCCUGAUCCAGCCAUGCCGCGUGUGUGAAGAAGGCCCUCGGGUUGUAAAGCACUUUCAGUGAGGAAGAACGCCUGGUGGUUAAUACCCAUCAGGAAAGACAUCACUCACAGAAGAAGCACCGGCUAACUCCGUGCCAGCAGCCGCGGUAAUACGGAGGGUGCGAGCGUUAAUCGGAAUUACUGGGCGUAAAGCGCGCGUAGGUGGCUUGAUAAGCCGGUUGUGAAAGCCCCGGGCUCAACCUGGGAACGGCAUCCGGAACUGUCAAGCUAGAGUGCAGGAGAGGAAGGUAGAAUUCCCGGUGUAGCGGUGAAAUGCGUAGAGAUCGGGAGGAAUACCAGUGGCGAAGGCGGCCUUCUGGACUGACACUGACACUGAGGUGCGAAAGCGUGGGUAGCAAACAGGAUUAGAUCCCCCUGUAGUC
rnacentral:rRNA from 1 species